GGACAUCACUUAAUAACUUAGUGGCAUCCUUACUCAACUCAGUGAAAUCCAUUGCCUCCCUACUCCUGCUCCUCUUCCUCUUCAUUGUCAUCUUCUCCCUCCUGGGUAUGCAGGUGUUUGGUGGGAAAUUCAACUUCCCUGACAGAGUGAUUCAGCGCAGUAACUUUGACAACUUCCCACAGGCCCUCAUCAGUGUGUUUCAGGUCCUAACUGGCGAGGAGUGGGACUCGAUUAUGUACAAUGGAAUCAUGGCUCAUGGUGGACCUCAAUCCCCAGGAAUUCUUGUCAGCAUUUACUUCAUAAUUCUGUAUAUCUGUGGAAACUUCGUUCUCUUGAAUGUGUUCUUGGCUAUCGC